AUGGAGGAUGCAGCGCACCGCCAUGGCGGCCGUCCCAAGCUAGGUCCAGGCGGCGGAGGAGCCGACCUCAUCAGCGCCCUCCCGGAGGAUCUGCUUCUCCUGGUCCUCGUCCGCCUCCGCUGCGCCCGCGCCGCCGCGCGCACCAGCCUCCUCGCCCGCCGGUGGCGCGGCCUCUGGACCCGCCUCCCCGAUCUCGUCUUCCGCGACGUCGCGGCCGACCCGCUCCUACCGGCGCUCACCUCGCUCCAAGCUGCGGCCGGCCUCGGCCCCGGGAUGUCCCUCCUCGACAUUCGCGUCGCCGGGGAUGAUCUGGGCCGGGGGCAUUCGCACCGGAUAUCCUCGCUGCUUGAUGCCGCUGCGCGGCUCUCGCCGGUGGAGUUCCACUUCGCCCUGCCGCGAGACGUGCUCGUCACCGACGUAGAGCUGCCUCGCUUCGACCUCGACCUCGCCGACUUUGUCCUCCGCUGCCCACGCCUGCGGGUGCUCAGGGUGGCCAACGAUUGCUACCACUCCGCCGGCGACAUCACCAUCAAAUCGGAGUCGUUGGAGGAGCUGCAAGUGCGGAGUCGGUCCAAAUGGACAAGAUGUAUCGACGUCGAGGCCCCCAUGCUGAAGCAAUUGACGGUGGCCUUCCACACCAUCAAUGAGCUCAGGGUGUCCAUAGUGGCACCAACUGUGAAGAAGGUCUCGUUGGAGUGCUACUAUACCAUCGAGACUGAGGAGAUUUCUUGUUGGGGACUCUCCAUGAUGACCUUGCAUACUGGCACUGCAGAGACCGAGGGACAGCGGUUGCUCACCGAGACCGGCACCGAAGACGACGCCCGUUUGCCGUUGUCUAACGUUUAUGUCCUGUCCCUGCAUUUGUCGGGUUCACCUGGUUGGACUGCUAAACCUGACGCAGAGCUCGAAGUUGCGCAAAAGAUAGAGUCACUUCUUGUAACCGGCUUCUCUGUCUUGGAGCUGCAUUUCUCGACAACUGAGUUUCAUUUUGGUAUACCAGCCAAGCAUGCUUUUGGAGCAUGUGUGGUGCGUCUACUUGGGAUGCAUCGGAUUCGUACGGCUACACGAAAGCUUAGGAUCGUCUUACUUAGAUCAGACGUGGUAAAAGAAUGCCCAGUAAAUUGUCGCUGUGAUAAGCCCAAGAACUGGAGAAGCAAAAAUAUCUCGUUGAUCAAUCUUGAAGAAGUGGAAAUCAAAGGCUUUGAAGGGGAGGAUCAUGAUUUUGAUUUCCUGAAAGUGAUAUUCAGAUGCGCACCAAUGCUUAAAAGAAUGUCCGUGUGGAUGUGUGAUGAGGUCAGCACAAGUAACGAUCGGUGUUUGAAAUCACACGACUUCUUCAAGGCGUAUCCAUUUGUGGAAUGCAACGUUUAUCUUAGUUCCGGGUCAAAGCACCACAGCCAAAGUUGUGCAUUGGAAUGA
rnacentral:rRNA from 1 species